rnacentral:rRNA from 1 species
UACGUAGGGUCCGAGCGUUGUCCGGAAUUACUGGGCGUAAAGCGUACGUAGGCGGAUUGUUAAGUGAGGGGUGAAAUCCCGAGGCUCAACCUCGGAACUGCCUUUCAUACUGGCAAUCUUGAGUCCGGGAGAGGUGAGUGGAACUCCUAGUGUAGAGGUGAAAUUCGUAGAUAUUAGGAAGAACACCGGUGGCGAAGGCGGCCCACUGGAUCGAUACUGACGCUGAGGUGCGAAAGCGUGGGGAGCAAACAGG